AACGAACGCUGGCGGCAGGCUUAACACAUGCAAGUCGAACGCAUGCCUUCGGGCAUGAGUGGCAGACGGGUGAGUAACGCGUGGGAACCUACCCCUUGGUACGGGAUAGCUCCGGGAAACUGGAGAUAAUACCGUAUGUGUCCUGAGGGACAAAGAUUCAUCGCCAAGGGAUGGGCCCGCGUCGGAUUAGCUAGUUGGUGGGGUAACGGCCUACCAAGGCGACGAUCCGUAGCUGGUCUAAGAGGAUGAUCAGCCACAUUGGGACUGAGACACGGCCCAAACUCCUACAGGAAGCAGCAGUGGGGAAUAUUGGACAAUGGGCGCAAGCCUGAUCCAGCCAUGCCGCGUGAGUGAUGAAGGCCCUAGGGUUGUAAAGCUCUUUCACCGGUGACGAUAAUGACGGUAACCGGAGAAGAAGCCCCGGCUAACUUCGUG
rnacentral:rRNA from 1 species